UACGUAGGGUGCAGGCGUUAAUCGGAAUUACUGGGCGUAAAGCGUGCGCAGGCUGUUUGCUAAGACAGGUGUGAAAUCCCCGGGCUUAACCUGGGAACUGCGCUUGUUACUGGCAGGCUUGAGUGUGGCAGAGGGGGGUGGAAUUCCACGUGUAGCAGUGAAAUGCGUAGAGAUCGGGAGGAACACCAGAGGCGAAGGCGGCGGCCUGGACAGUUACUGACACUCAACUACGAAAGCGUGGGGAGCAAACAGG
rnacentral:rRNA from 1 species